rnacentral:rRNA from 1 species
CAGCAGCCGCGGUAAUACGUAGGUCCCGAGCGUUGUCCGGAUUUAUUGGGCGUAAAGCGAGCGCAGGCGGUUAGAUAAGUCUGAAGUUAAAGGCUGUGGCUUAACCAUAGUACGCUUUGGAAACUGUUUAACUUGAGUGCAAGAGGGGAGAGUGGGAUUCCAUGUGUAGCGGUGAAAUGCGUAGAUAUAUGGAGGAACACCGGUGGCGAAAGCGGCUCUCUGGCUUGUAACUGAUGCUGAGGCUCGAAAGCGUGGGGAGCAAACAGGAUUAGAUACCCCGGUAGUACCUGUCUCUUAUACA